AUUUCUCACAUUUGUUUCCAUGUGGGAAACCAUUUCCUUGCAGGUUUGGAUAACUCAAGAUGAGAGGAAUUACAUUAGACAUUAUAUGACAGGGGAAAAUAUGUGGACAUGGGAGGAGACAGAAGGGGUUGAAUGGAAGGAAAGAAAUGGAGAAAUGGGAAAAGGAUAAAGAUGGAAGAUGGUGAGAGAAAAUAUCAAGAAAGUGAAGGGGAGGAGAGAUAGAAUAAAUCAUUAUUCCCUAGGAAACAGAGAGGUGAGGGUCCGUGCAGGAAGGUGGAGAACAGAGAAAACAGGAAAAAAGAAGAGUGUGAAGGAAGUUUGAAGUUGUGAUUAAAAGGAAGAUUAAAAGUUGUGAGGAAAGCACAAUUUGCAGGAAAGGAGGAGGGAGCUGAUGGCCUAGAAGGUAAAACAGAGGUGAGAGGAGAACCUGUGUCUUGUUCUGACAGUGUUUUGGGUGUCUGGUUGGUUCCCACAGGCAGCCAGGCAGAAGAAGCCCAGAGGUUUGGCUGCCAUCGUGCUGCUUCCCUCCAUCCACCACACUGACCAGACCUGGGACUUAGUGAUGUGAAGAGAAACCGAGGGAGACAAAUCUCUUCCAUUUCCCACAGGUGUUUGAUGAACUCUAUCUGGGGAACAAGGGAUGUCACUUUCCAAGAGACCCAGGCAAGUCCAUUCCUCCCCCAGAGCCAGAAAAGAAGCUCUCCAGUUUCUUCAGACCCAGGACGGUGUGUUAUGCUGUAACUGUGUGAAUUCACAGAUGUAAUGACCUUGCAGAUUAUACUUUUCAGUGGAAAGACUCCAUAAUAUGCCAAAGUGAUCGCUCCUAGGCCUUCAAGCAAUGAGUUUCUUAUUCCUCUGAGAGGGCACGGGGGUGUAGAGAGGCUGUGCUGGCAAAUCCAACCACUUCAAAGCAUCCCUGCAUAGCAGGAAGGAGAUCUGUCAUCUAAAUCUUCUUUCUGGGCUGGCUAACAUGCCUUAGGCAGUUUCACCUUCAGGCACAUACACUGCAUAACGGGGCUGGAGAAAUCAGUGCCCCCUUCUCUGUACAGGAUCUAGGAAGGGGUAAGUGAGCAGUGUCUCCUCAUCAAGCCCAGGGUCAAACAACCCAGCACACGCAGAGUGUAGGCUGAUGUAGACAAAGUUGCUCUGAGACUACAGGAACAGCAAAACCUGGAGGAUCCCCUCUCACACUCCACCACUGGACUGGUGCUCUCUCCCUCCUGCACACUCAGUCACAGGCAGGACAACCUUCUUAGAGAGGAAGGAUUGGGCCCAUGAUGCCUUCUUAGAGAAGCAGCCAGUCAUCCAGGAGCAGAGUCGUCACCUGGCAGUCAUGGGUGGCUGAGGGCUUUUCAGAGGUCACUCAAGCCUUGGUCUCUCUGGACAUUGCCCUGGCAAGUUCUACCUUCUAGCUCAGCUCCCUGCAGCAGUGGAUGGAGGAAGGAAGAGCCGUGAAGGACCUGGCACCCAGCUACCCCUCCAACAUCAGACCAUAGGUCUAUAGGAAUUUAAAAACCCUUUAUCUCCACUCCAUCAGUCUGUGUCCAACCUUGCUUCUCUUUCUUCUGAGUUUUGUGCUCUACCCCAGCACCUCUAGUGCCACUAAGGAGCCAGAAUAUCCUUUUCCUGGCCACCACAACCACCAUCAAUGCCACUGACACCUCCUUGCUCCUCUUCCCUAUAAGCACCGUUUCCUACAAUGGCCCAAAAAGGAGAGCACUGCCCUCAUGGAUAUGGUAAUAUGGCCCUGAAAAGCCUCUAAUUAACCCUUAUUAUAUAAUUCACAGCUUCAUCUGGCAGCUUCUGCCACAAAGGGCUCAACAGACAGUGUCAAAAAUACCAAUUAUCUCCCUGGCUGCCACUUGAGAAGCAGAGAGAAAGAGAAACAGGUGUCACAGGUAGGAAAUCUUGUGGCUGCCAGUGACACAAGACAGAAAAUGUACAGCAGACAAACAGAGGCAAUGCCUGUCUCCCCACUUAUCAUAAAGGGAUGAGAAGCUGGGAUCUAUGUCUUCUGGCCCAAUGCCCAAUUUGAGCCAAGUCCAAAAUGAAGCCCCUUUUCCUCCAGAGAAGCAGGUACCACGACAUUAAACAGCCACUUUCUUUAUCUGAAAGCACUCAUACACAAGAGGUAUAGCCACUGCAGCCUUUAUAGAUUUAACCUGCACCUCCUUGUCCUGAUGAGUCCACCCUAUGAUACAGCUUGGCUUGGCUUGGCCACCUUUGUCAGCUACAUCACUGUCUUGCAGCUCAGGACCUUGGUCCAACAAUGCCAUUUUCGGAUUUUAGGAACCCCCAGUCAUCGGCUCCAGAUGUUCAGGAAGGGAAAUUACAGAGAAAAAAGAAAUCCUCAGGCCUGUGUUGUGAUCUGGCAACAGCAGGCAGCUGAGGCAGGUUUGUGCCUAUUUGCUCACAAGUCUGUGGCCAAGUCUGACUCUUCCUCAUGCUCCACGCCUGGCUAUGCUUUUCCCUCCUUCAGCCACUUCUACCCAGAGGUCCCCAGAUCCCCCCACCCAUUCUUCAGCUUCCACCUUAUUAUUCAGGUUCCAUUUGUCCCUCAAUGCUCAUGGCAGAGCCUCCACUGUCUUUGGAGUUGGAGCAAGACAAGUGGGACAAAGCACUGGGCUGGAAAAUUGGGUGCAGAAGUUGCAAUGAAUUCUUAAUGAUGCCCUUUCUGGCAACAGAGGGAUGGAGCAGAAUACUUUUCAUUUUUGAAGUGUUUCUUAUUUAAAAAGUGAUGAGGCCUUUGAUUCAUUUUCCACAGUAGCAUUGGCUGGGCACAUGCUUACUUCUGCCUUGCUUAGCAAGAGUCACCAAUACAGCUCCUCGGACUCAUUUAGAUGCCAGUCCUUUCUCCUUUGGGAAUGCACGUUAACUGCCAGUCCCUGAGGAGCCUGGCAAUCCUACUGUAAGAGGUAUCACAUAACCAUGUUGUGAGACAGACCCUGUUCCAAGGAGCCUGACAAGGGAAGAGAAGACACAGAUUCCUGUUGAAUAUUUGGGAAGACAAGGAAUGAAGCAGUUCUGCACACUGCCAUAGUCCCACCAAACCUGUGGCAGAAACUCGAGUUUGUCCCUGUAGGGGACACCAGUGAUAGUGAUCUACCCAUCAUCUUAACAAUGUAAGGGAACAUGUAUAAAAGUAUUCAAGUCUGUGUUUCAUUUCUCUUAUCCUUUCACUCCUAAAUAUUUCACUUUCAGGUCAUUUGGGUUCUCUUUCUCUUGGUUUGUGUUUCCUUCAAGGGUCAGAAGGAAAACGCAGAGGCUAUUCAGUGACACACUCUGCUCCCCUGCUAUGGGUGAGCAUGGCCUGUGCACUUAAAAUCCCAAAUCCCCUUGGGCUCUGUGUAGCUCUCAGUCUGUCCUCCAGCUCUGCACAAUACACACAUUUGCGUUUUAAUUGAAAAGGCAUCCAAGACAUGGGGAAAGAUGUUAGCCUGACCAUUCCCUAGCCUGCACUGCUCUCAUCCCCUUGGGCAACAGCCCUCAGGACAAAGGUCAGCAGCAUGACCCUCACACCUUCAACCAUAUGUUCAUUGCCCUUCAGAGCUGUUGGUUACUGGCUCCAUUGGAGUCAACAUUAUCUGGACAGGAGACUUUCCUCAUUCUUCUCCCUUAGGCUUGGCCUGACCCUGAGGAGUCAUGAUGGCUCAGGAUGUCCAGGCACUCAGUGCUGCAGAAAAGUAUCCUCUAAUCCAAGCUGGUUAUUGUAAAAAUCCACCAAGAUGUGGAUGGGAAAUCAACACCCAGAAAAGGUUGUUAGCUUUGCAGUGGAAAGAGGAUUCAUCUGCCAUUCCAUCAGAGGUGCUCUUCCAGUGCCUGCAGUCAGUCCAGAAGAGGGCAAUGUUGCCUACUUGCCUGUCGGUACCACAACACAGAGGCACAUGCACAUGCACAUGUCGACAAAGGCAAAGAGAUGACAACUGUCCUGUAUGACUUCCAGCAAAAGACUCUGUGGCUAAGUCAGGUCUUUCUCUGUUACAGCAAAUUACUUGGAUAAGUCACUGAACUUCGUAAGGGUGGAAAAGAACCACAUCAGCACAAACCAACCACAAGAAAACACAAAACAGUCUUCCCAAGUCUGCCGCCAACCAAAUAAUGAGACUGUGCAAAAAACCUGUGCUCUUCUCCAGGGUGGGUUUGCUUAGCAAGCCAGCUCACUCUGGCCACCCUCACACUGCACACUGCAGCCACUUCACUGUCCACAGCACAGCCCUUGCCCCUUCUCUCACUCCAUGAUGCAGACAUCAUGGUCACCAACCAGGUUCUGGAGGCAAAGUUCAGUGUGGUUGGCUGCAGUAACUGCAGUCUGUUGGACACAGUUACAUCCACAGGCACCAGAGAGAAAUAAUGUAGACACACAGACACAGCUCAUGACUUCUCUGGACACACCCCAUCUCACACAAUAGUGUGCAGAGCAGAGGACUCCUAAGCUCUCUGACUGGAAUCAGCCAAAGGCUGUUUAAAUGCAAGCACUGCUUAACUCUUUCACCACAAAUCAUUUUGGCCCAGAGGGCUGACUACAGUUCCUCUAUGUCCCCUCAGCCCAACAGUCCUCACCUGGCUUCAGGAUAUUUAUGAUGUCUUCAGCCUUGACAGUCUUCCCUUCCCAAAGCUUCCUGAUCUCCCUAGACAGCAUUUGUAAAUACAUUUUGUCCUUUCUUAUCCCUGUGGCAGAGCAACCAAAUGAAAUGCAAGGACUGUGGAGACAAAAUCGAAUUUAGCAACAAAAUAAACAGCAUGGGGGCUCUCUGCUGAUUAGAUUACGCCUCUUUAUAAUUUAUGCAUUAAUUCCCCCCAAGGUCUGAGAUUCCCUGUGUCAGAAGACCUGUACCCCUGCACUGCAGAGAUGCAGAUGCCAGGAACAACACUUUAACUGAAACAUCCGCCUUUCCACCAAGCAGAUAAAGCUCUGAUUAACCCCAGAAGAGCUCCUCUUUGUUAUGCACCAUCGUCCAUCCUUCAGAGAUACACAGUCCUGCACCAUUCCUUCCCACACUCAAUCAUUCUUCCUAAGUCCAGUGGAGAACAUGUCAGACUGUGAAGCAUCUGCCUGUAGUGGCAUCUGCUCCUAGAUCUGCUCUCAGAUCAAUUCAAGCAUUAAUAAGAGUCAUCAACUACUGCAGCAUAUAUAUCCAGGAGCUGUUGUGUCCAUAGUCACAACUCCCUAGAACCAUUUAUUCCUGUCUUUUACUACACAAGAGCAGAGACUGUGAGCUCAACACACUCAAUAGCGAAGCCUAGAAACCAUGGCUAGAUUUGUCUAAUCAGAGCGGGAUGUGCAAGAACAAAAAAAAAAAAGAAACCCUCUGAGCCAAGGAGCCAUACCACUCUCAGGAGAAAUAGAAACAUUAAGAAACAGGAGGCAGAGAAGAGACAAGACAUGCAAGGGAAUGGCUGCUAUGUCACCAUACACAAAUUGGCCUAAUUAUGUGUAUAAAUGCACCAAUAGGCAUGGAUUUGCUGGCUGUAUUCUUGACUUUAAAUAUUGAUGCUUAGGAAGAGCUGAGAUCAGGAUAUCUGCUGGUGGAUUAGGCUACAGAUUGCUCAGUCAUUACCCACGGCUGGAUCGCCUGCCUUGGAUUGCCUUCCUCCAGAGAGCACUGGAGCUCAGACAGAGGAUUUGUUGUGUAAGUAAUGGGCAAGGAAGCUCUGCCUUACACCCAGGCAGAGCUGUCUGCCUGCCCUGGGUGGGGCAGAACCUGUGUGCUGAUCAGGGCAGGAAAGGGCUGGUAUCAUGACAGAACUGACAACUGGGUGAAAAUAAGGAUGUGUCCAAAACAGACAAUAGCUAAGGGAAGAGAAACAGAGUGUUUGAGGGAAGCAGGUGACCCCUGGGUGUCUGGGACAAUCUCCCCAUGCCCUGACCCAACUCUCUCAGUUUCACCCAUACCUUGUUUCCUCCCACCACAUCCCAUCCCAUCCCAU
ensembl:lncRNA